ACUUUUUCGCAUUAUAUUUUCUUUCUUUUCCCAAAAAAUAACGCUUGCUUUUACUCUUCUUUUUCCUAGAGUCUAUGAGAAGAAAGAAAACGCGUUCCUUUCCCCGGAACUCUCCUACUCAAAUCCUUCUCCUCCCCCAUCAAGAAAAUGGCAAUUUUCAGUGGUCAUCUCUUCAACUCCCGUCUCCUGCCAUCUUCUUGUCUUUCUCCUCCUUCCCUAAGCAUCUGCCCCAUGCCCCUUCGUCCUCUCACAUCAAUGUAUCACCGUUUCCCCAUGGACCGCCAGAAAACAACAAUAUCCAAAGGUCUCCAACACUAUCUCCCCCACCGUCCAUCAAUCAUAGCCUUCCUAUCUAUCAACUUACAUCUUUUCUGAUUUAUUUAUGACCCAAAGCAGGCCUAGAAGUCCCGACAAUCAUUAUUGCUCCACCUGAAAGUGGGGGACUUGAAGAACCUUCGAAUUUUGAUUGGUUACAGCCUUGAUCCGUUGGUUGCAAGAUUAGAAACCUCCCCCCUAAUUCAACUAUAAAAUUGGACCUUUGGUUCUCUUUUAAGAUCAUUUGGGGAGAACGAUUCAAAAAAAAAGUGAAGGAUCUGAAAAUCAUCUGUGGAAUAGGUUGUAAGGUUAUUAUUCUCUAUUUUUAUUCUUCUUUGAGUUAACAUCGAGUUGAAAGUUAGAAUCUUGACGCCAAGGCUCUAGUUUGCUGUUCCAUACAAGGCGUUUUUGUUGCUCUGUCGUCAUCGCUGUCACGGGAUUAUGGCUGCUGUGAUAGGCAUGACGCGAAUUAAAGUCAUUAAUAAAUCCUUGAACGACCAUAUUAUGUAAUUUUUUAUCUAAGGAAUGAAACCUAAGCGACUCCUAACAUUUUUUCACCAUUCUUGGGGGUUAAAGUAAGUUUUUCACUCACCAAA